GUGAAGAGGGCAAGGCCUUUAAAAGGUUUGUGAAGGCAGCUUACACUUUUCAGUUGUUCCAGAAGACUUGAGGUAGAAGAAUGGUGGGCUCUGUUCAGCCUGUUAUCAGCUCAGAACACGCUAGAAAAUUAAGAAGGCUUCUUGCACUAUUCAUUACCUACAACUAGAGGACAGAUAACACUGAAAAAGCAGGUUCAAGAUUUAAUUACAACUGUUGAACAAUUGCAAAAUACAUGGACCACUGAGCUUCUGGGGAUUUCCUGACAUGAGCGUUGUGAUAGUGAAAAAGCAAGGCCCUGAGGAUUCAGGUGACUGGGAAAAAUUGACCAGAGAAUUUCCACCUCCAGACUUUCCUAAUAUCUCUGGACUUUAAGAGCAGUGUCUUCUGUUGACUGCAGACAGUGCGAAUAAGUUACCUGAGGAGUUGGUGAUGGACAGGGAGGCCUGGGGUGCUAAAGUCCAUGGGUUUGCAAGCACUGAACUAACUGAACGGACUUUCCUAUGUCCUUCACCCUAAGGUGAAUCUCUUCUAGGCAACAUAUUCCAAACAGAAUUUCUACCAAUGGAUGAUAAAGAAGAAAUGAAGAUUAUCAUUCUUAUCCACUGUUGGUACUCUUCCAGUACUCUUGCUACGGUAUUCAAAUAUGCAGCAAGCCUAGGAUCCCUUAGCUAUUUUCAGGUUCAGUUCCUUUGCUGAAUCAAAUGUUUUCUCAAAACCUUUCAGCCUCUUUCCUCCUCUGCAGUAACAAUCUCUCUUCCAUUGGACAGUGAUCUGUUGUUUACAUGCCAGAUUUUUUAAGCCACUGAUUUAAGCUAGCUGCUGCAGGAAAAUUCAAGGGACAGUUUGAUCAGUAAAACAGGUAGUCAUGCUUCAGUUGUGCUUUGCUCUCUUACUUGGUAACAGGCCAGAUUGAAAAGCAAAAUGGGCUGGGAAAACAUAAACGAUUGCCUAGGCUAGAUUACGUAGUACUUUAGGAAACAGAAACUCUGGUAGCGUGCAAUUUGAAAUUUGCAAUAAUGGACAUCUCACUUUGUGAGACUUUACUAUUAUGGAUGGACUUGAUAUAAUAGAGAAUAGAGGAAGGGAUCUAAAAAUAAUUCAUUGCUUUGUGCUGGUAUCUAUGCAGCAAUUCUGUCAUUUAAAACUCUUGCCACUUUGUCUGGGCAAACAAUUAGAUAUAGGAAGCCUUUUGGAUGGUACACACAAAUCUAGCUAGCUUCAUUUCUUUGUAAAAGGCAAGACAUCUGGAAUUUGUGUGUGGGGGUGACAGGUAGCCCAAAGGCUAAGUAAAAAGAUACAAUUCCAGCAAUUAUCAUUGUUGAAAUUUAAUGCAUUUAAGUGUGCUUUUAAUACUUGAUUUUCUUUUUUGUAUCUAAUAGCAUCUUUUAAUGAAUGUCAAAUUUACUGUAUCAUAUGAAAAUAAUCAUUCAAGUUUCCUACUUUUGGAAAAACAAAAGGAAAUAAACACACACACACACAUCUUGUCUCUAUUCAGAUAAAAAAUUGAGAAAUUUUUUUUUUAAUAAUGAAAAUGUCAGCAUUUUAAAAUGCAAACUUUAUUUUCAAGAAGUUUAUUACUUGCAUGCUAAAAGCAUCACCAAGCUAGAUUUUGGCAUAGUGAGUACUUGGAGGGCAGUGACAUUUCAAAACCAUUUUUCUUAUAUCAUGGACUCAAUUUCCAAGAGAUUGCCUAAUUUAAUUUCAGAACAAUUCAGUGCCUCCCAAGAUCUCCAUUCCAGCUUCCCAUCAUAAGUAUGCUCUAGCCUGUGUAGAAUGUUCCAGUACACAAAUUUAGGGAACUCUGAGAAAUCUUAACAGAAUGCAGACAGUAGAAGUGUAACUUAUGAAAAGUUGCUGGUUCAGUGAGCUAAAUCAUUUCUUAUAUGGGGGAGAGUAGGAUUUUAGGGGAAAAAAUUGGAAAACUUUAACAAGUUCCAUUUCAUGAUGUGGACAAAAUGUUACAGUUCAUAAUUUUCAGGUGAAUGAUUUUAGAUACAUGCACGCAAAAUAAUCAGGGAAUAGUGGUCAAUACAUUGUGUUCAAUGACUGUACCUCAGUUGACGAGUAGGUAAUUAAAGGCAGAAAGAAGAAAAGAAAAGCCCAAGAGGGUAAAAAUGCACUACAGUUUUAUGACAAUAGGAACACUGAAUUGGGAAUUAGCACAUGGGAAUUUGUUAUAAGUCAUAAGUUAUUGAUUGUGACAACAAAGCAAAUUAUUUCCUUUU